rnacentral:rRNA from 4 species
UAGACCGCCUGGGGAGUACGGCCGCAAGGUUAAAACUCAAAUGAAUUGACGGGGGCCCGCACAAGCGGUGGAGCAUGUGGUUUAAUUCGAUGCAACGCGAAGAACCUUACCUGGUCUUGACAUCCACAGAACUUUCCAGAGAUGGACUGGUGCCUUCGGGAACUGUGAGACAGGUGCUGCAUGGCUGUCGUCAGCUCGUGUUGUGAAAUGUUGGGUUAAGUCCCGCAACGAGCGCAACCCUUAUCCUUUGUUGCCAGCGAUUAGGUCGGGAACUCAAAGGAGACUGCCAGUGAUAAACUGGAGGAAGGUGGGGAUGACGUCAAGUCAUCAUGGCCCUUACGACCAGGGCUACACACGUGCUACAAUGGCGCAUACAAAGAGAAGCGACCUCGCGAGAGCAAGCGGACCUCAUAAAGUGCGUCGUAGUCCGGAUUGGAGUCUGCAACUCGACUCCAUGAAGUCGGAAUCGCUAGUAAUCGUGGAUCAGAAUGCCACGGUGAAUACGUUCCCGGGCCUUGUACACACCGCCCGUCACACCAUGGGAGUGGGUUGCAAAAGAAGUAGGUAGCUUAACCUUCGGGAGGGCGCUUACCACUUUGUGAUUCAUGACUGGGGUGAAGUCGUAACAAGGUAACCGUAGGGGAACCUGCGGUUGGAUCACCUCCUUACCUUAAAGAAGC